rnacentral:rRNA from 1 species
UACGGGGGGGGCAAGCGUUGUUCGGAAUUACUGGGCGUAAAGCGCGUGUAGGCUGCUCGGAAAGUCGGAUGUGAAAGCCCUGGGCUCAACCUAGGAAGUGCAUUCGAAACUUCCGAGCUGGAGUCCUGGAGAGGAAGGCGGAAUUCUCGGUGUAGAGGUGAAAUUCGUAGAUAUCGAGAGGAACACCGGUGGCGAAGGCGGCCUUCUGGACAGUGACUGACGCUGAGACGCGAAAGCGUGGGGAGCAAACAGG